GAAGAGUUUGAUCCUGGCUCAGAUUGAACGCUGGCGGCAUGCCUUACACAUGCAAGUCGAACGGCAGCGCGGGCUUCGGCCUGGCGGCGAGUGGCGAACGGGUGAGUAAUACAUCGGAACGUGCCCUGUUGUGGGGGAUAACUAGUCGAAAGAUUAGCUAAUACCGCAUACGACCUGAGGGUGAAAGCGGGGGACCGUAAGGCCUCGCGCAAUAGGAGCGGCCGAUGUCUGAUUAGCUAGUUGGUGGGGUAAAGGCCUACCAAGGCGACGAUCAGUAGCUGGUCUGAGAGGACGAUCAGCCACACU
rnacentral:rRNA from 1 species